UAGGGAAUCUUCCGCGAUGGACGCAAGUCUGACGGAGCAACGCCGCGUGAGUGAAGAAGGAUUUCGGUUCGUAAAACUCUGUUGUUAGAGAAGAACAGCGCAUAGAGUAACUGUUAUGCGUGUGACGGUAUCUAACCAGAAAGCCACGGCUAACUACGUGCCAGCAGCCGCGGUAAUACGUAGGUGGCAAGCGUUGUCCGGAUUUAUUGGGCGUAAAGCGAGCGCAGGCGGUCAAUUAAGUCUGAUGUGAAAGCCCCAGGCUCAACCGGGGAGGGUCAUUUGAAACUGGUUGACUUGAGUGCAGAAGAGGAGAGUGGAAUUCCAUGUGUAGCGGUGAAAUGCGUAGGUAUAUGGAGGAACACCAGUGGCGAAGGCGACUCUCUGGUCUGUAACUGACGCUGAGGCUCGAAAGCGUUGGUAGCAAACAGG
rnacentral:rRNA from 1 species